CUCCGGCUUUAUGUAUGCAUACAUAUAUAAACAACAACACCCCGAAACCAUAGAGUUGUCCAUAGACUCUGAAUGAGCCGCAGAGUCGGCAAGCGCGCGCGUUACUCUUUGGCUGUUCUCUCUCUAUGAUAUGGUGCAGCUCGUCUUCAGAUUUUUACCUCAGCUUUAGAGGAAUCGAAUAGCAGCAAUACGUGCAGUAUUGAGUCCUGCCGGCUGCUGCCUGGAGGCUUAUCUUCUCGGUUCCUUUACUCCUCCUUACCCGCCUCCCCCCCCCCGACAAAAUGUAAGGGAGGAAAAGGAGGAUUUCAGCGCCGCUGUGAAAUUUAAGGCGGUCUGAUGCGAAAGGGGACAUGUCUGAGCGCUCCAUGAUUUGCUCAAUUCAGUGCAGACAUUUGCUGUGUUCUAUUCACUUGAAUGCAGACACGUGGCCCUUUCACUACUCUGGCUGUAGCCCUAUGCAGACAUGGGGGAAUCUCUCAGCAUAUGCAGAGGACUCAAGAAAGGGAUCAGCUCCUCAUUUUUCACUGGGCUUUGCAAACUCCAGUGCAGUGAAAGGGAUUUCGCCCUUCAUGCCAGAAGACUUAGAAAUCUGUUAAUCCUGCUGGGCACAAGCUAGCUGUAUAAAUUCAUCAGUGAGAGAUAGAAGUAAAUGUGGAAAAUUUUACAAGACAGUCCACAGUGUCUGGAGAUUUUCUGAAAGUUGCAUUGAUUCCACUGGGGAAAAGUCACAAAGCUGCUGAAUAUUAAAAUAACCUUCAAAAUUAAAACAAUUCAGAUACAAUUUGUUGGAGUGUGAUUAGUGGUGCCUCAGCAUCUCCUACCUGACUGUAUAAAAGUCAGACAGUGUCAAAUCUCCAAAGAGCCUAGCGCUUAAGCAAUAAUUAGCCACAGUUAAAGAGCUAGCUUAAUCCAUGUUGUAUCAGCUUUUGUUAAUAUCAUUGUUGAUGUGUAUUAUUUUUAGCAUUGUUUGCUGGUAAAAUACUCAGCAAGUAAAAAAGGAGGAACUGGAUCAAUCAAAUGCAUUUAUUAAAUAUCAACAACUAGGUUUUUAUUGGUGAAUAAGGACAGAACAGGUCAAAAAGCCAGGAUCUAGAUCAAGUGGACUGCUGGCAUGUUCAAGUAUCACUUCUCAUCUUUGUGAUCUCUGAAUUAGGGAAGAGAAUAGGAAGGGCAACCUUGAAAAGCACCAGCAAAAUGCCACCAUUUUCUCUCUAGCAUGUCCUAAUGCUGAAUCUUCCUUCUAAUCCACCUUCCAACCUGGAAAGUGGCAGAGUUAAAAGACUGGGGCAUGUUAGAGAGAGGGUGACUGUACUUCCUUCAUUAUUUGUGUGUCUCAAUUUGACCCUUCUCAGAUAUUUAUUACUGUCCCUGGAGGAAGAUGGGCAAUACGUAAUCAUUUCAAGUAUACCAAGAAGAUGAGUUUUUAUUCUCUUCCCAGGUAACCCCUGUCUCACCAGUCUUUUUGCUGCUUAUUCUUCUCCUAUUUCCUGGGCAAAGGAAGAGUCAAUCUAAGGGUGUGCCAAAGGGUAGAGGCAUGCCUUGGCUUCUGUCUCUUCCUUUCCAUUUACCACCCAGGAGAAAGGAAGGCAAGAGAGAAGGAAUGUUUAGCACCUAGGAAAGGUGGCGCCAUCCCUUUGCUUCCAUGUCAUGGCAAGUAUUUGUCUUCUCAUCUGAUGUAUGAUGGAGAAAGAGAGGCUUUAAUCCUUUGCUCCCCGCCCCCCCGUCAUUUGCAUUAGGAAGGAAAUUCCCAUUUGCACCAAUAGGAGUGCGAAAGAGUCAGGAGAGAGAGCUUACUUGCAGUCUUUGGCUAAAUACCAUCUCACUCAC